GUGUAGACAAGUGUACAGAUUUCUAAGACAUGAAAUUAUCUAGACUCACUCUAGUUAUAUGAAUAUAUCUAUCCAUAAUCUACUUAAUAGAUAAUCCAUCAUGCACCGGACCGUCAAAUAUCGUGGCUUUGUUGUUCGGGCGUAUUAUAAAAACAACUCAUCUGCAGCGAUGCAGCGAGCGUUCUGUUGACGCUUCGUACCAGAUGCACGUAAAAAGCGUAUCAACACUUUCAUGAAAGACCUCAGAGCAGUGGACACCUUGUGGAAAGAGUCGUCAGACGUUGUUAUUGACACAUCUUUAUGGAGACAGCUUGCCACCCAACUUUACCGAUCGGCCCGGAAGGAUCUAAAU